GAUGAAGAACGUAGCGAAAUGCGAUAAGUAAUGUGAAUUGCAGAAUUCAGUGAAUCAUCGAAUCUUUGAACGCACAUUGCGCCCGCCAGUAUUCUGGCGGGCAUGCCUGUUCGAGCGUCAUUUCAACCAUCAAGCCCCCGGGCUUGUGUUGGGGACCUGCGGCUGCCGCAGGCCCUGAAAACCAGUGGCGGGCUCGCUAGUCACUCCGAGCGUAGUAGUUACAUCUCGCUCAGGGCGUGCUGCGGGUUCCGGCCGUUAAAAGCCUUUUACCCCAAGGUUGACCUCGGAUCAGGUAGGAAGCCCCGCUGAACUUAAGCAUAUCAAUAAGCGGAGGA
rnacentral:misc_RNA from 1 species